UGUGCAUGGAGCCUCUCAGAACGAUAUUCUCUCCAGAUAUCUAACUCAAUCUAAAUUAUCAGUGCAAACAAGGUGAAAAUGAGGAGUUGGUUGAAUCUACAGAUGUGGAACCUGCAGAUACAGAGGGCUGACUAUAUACAAUUUGAUGAGCCUGGACAUAUGCAUACAGCGAUGAAAACACCACCACAAUUAAGAGCUUCAGUGGUCCUGAGUGAGGACAGUGGUUAGGUUCCUCGGUGCACUGCUACCCUGUGAUCCCAAUUAGUCACCCAAUCCUUUUGCUGAAACUCAACCAAGACUCUUCAUACCUGACAGAAGAACACUUCCUAGAAAGAAGACAAAAGAUGGGUGUCUCUUGCUCUAAAAAUCUCCCCUCUGGCCUGUACCACGCUUGGGAAUGAGGACUCUGUUCUGAAUUCUCUGUAUAAAUGUCCUGUCAAGCUGUUUAUACUCACAGUGUGUUUUCUUGGCUUCCCCAUCUCUGGUAAUUGCUCCCAUUCAGGAACCUUUGAAGGGAUAAAAGCCAGAUUGCAGAAACACACCAGUGUUUAUCACGAAUGACUUUGUAGGAGAUUCCCGCAACAGAAAGGGGCAGGUCCUUUUCUUCAGAAGCCAACUCUUUGCUGCCUCGGUUCUGGGGCUGACUCUUGCUUCUUCACCAGCUUCCUUUGAACUGGGGGCUUCUGAUUCAUAGGAGACGGAUGAUUCCUAUGCAUGGGCUCUGAAAACUUCUAUGAAGUUGCAGCUCAUGACAUGAAAUGCUGUAUUGGGUGACUGUUUUUUUGAUUGCGUGUUUCUGCAUCCCAUCCUCCAAGCCCUCCCAAUGCCUCAUUCAUCCUCAGAAUAGUAAUCUCUCCCCUACUCCUUCUUCCCAGCACAUUCACUCCUGUGCUUUGAUGUUUCUUUGUUAAAAUGCUGCAGAUAAAAAUACUCAAGGAGGGUGUUUAAGAAUAUGUAUUUAAAAAAGCAC
rnacentral:lncRNA from 10 species